UACAAACGACUCUCGGCAACGGAUAUCUCGGCUCACGCAUCGAUGAAGAACGUAGCAAAAUGCGAUACUUGGUGUGAAUUGCAGAAUCCCGUGAACCAUCGAGUUUUUGAACGCAAGUUGCGCCGGAAGCCUUUUGGCCGAGGGCACGUCUGCCUGGGCGUCACGC
rnacentral:rRNA from 1 species